AUUGAACGCUGGCGGCAUGCCUUACACAUGCAAGUCGAACGGCAGCACGGGGCAACCUGGUGGCGAGUGGCGAACGGGUGAGUAAUGCAUCGGAACGUACCUUUCAGUGGGGGAUAACGUAGCGAAAGUUACGCUAAUACCGCAUAUUCUGUGAGCAGGAAAGCAGGGGAUCGCAAGACCUUGCGCUGAUUGAGCGGCCGAUGUCAGAUUAGCUAGUUGGUGAGGUAAAGGCUCACCAAGGCGACGAUCUGUAGCGGGUCUGAGAGGAUGAUCCGCCACACUGGAACUGAGACACGGUCCAGACUCCUACGGGAGGCAGCAGUGGGGAAUUUUGGACAAUGGGGGCAACCCUGAUCCAGCCAUGCCGCGUGAGUGAAGAAGGCCUUCGGGUUGUAAAGCUCUUUCGGCCGGGAAGAAAUCGCACGGGCUAAUACACUGUGUGGAUGACGGUACCGGAAUAAGAAGCACCGGCUAACCACGUGCCAGCCGCCGCGGUAAAAC
rnacentral:rRNA from 1 species